UUUAAAUCAGAUUUCCUGGGAAUAAUGUCUUAUUCAGUGCACUUGAAUAUUGAUUGUUUUAUAUGUAUAACCAACUAUUGACAAUGUAAUUUGCCGAAUAAGGUUUGCUUAGAUUCUGAUUUUAGUAGCUUAUAAAAAUUUUGGAAUUGGCCUUGGCAUCACCAUAUUUUCAAAUCUGCUCCUUGUUGAAGGGUGAAAAUUAGAAAAAAGAAUUUUAAAUCUGUGGAUUUCUGUGGCUGACCAUGCAGUUCCAGGUUGCUCAUUCUCUAUUGAGCCAAAACAUGCAGAGAAAACUCACAAAAUUUGAAACUGUAAAGUAAUUAUGGUUCUGCAAGGGACAUUAUGUUACAUGUGGCACUACACAUAGGUAAGCAUGGCAAAAUAAAAUGGAAGUUAGAUGAGAAGUUGUUAAUUUUUUUAAAUUAUCUCUGAGGUAAGUUAAAAAGACAAAGUACGCCUCAGAUAUGUUAGUCACCAUAGAUUAUUUUUGUAAUCUAUAUAGGUUUGUAAUAGCAGUGGUUGUGUACCCUUAAGAUAUGGGAUAAACUUUGACCUUGCUGUCAUGAAGUAUUUUCCAGUAUUCUUUUUCCUAGAAUUUAUUGAGGUGACUUUGAAAUGUUAAAUAGUAGAAUGACAGAAAACUUAAUUAAAAAAUUGACAGCAAGACUUACAACGGUUCGUAUGUGACUCACCUGUCUAGUUUAUAUUGUGAAUAUUCUCCUGUGCCUCUUAUUGUCAUUCUAAAGCCAGUAAGGCUGCAGUGUUAUUCACAGGUUUACAGCUGCCUCCUGGGAUGAUAACUGAAUUCAAAAAGGAAAGAGAGACAAAAGACUUACAGUAAAAAAUAUAACAUAUUUUCUGUGUCAAUCCCAAGACUGCAUUAUUUUUUGUAUUAUUCACAUGAUCAUUUCAUGUUGUAUGGUUGGUAACACAUCUUUCUUUCUUUCCAAAAUAGUUCUGCUAUUCUGGGGUUUCUUAAACCUUUCUUCACUUGUGCCACAAUAAAAAUCUGACUUUCUAAAGACAAUAGAAAUGUUUCCUAGAUAAGCAGGACCACCAUUGCCAGUAAGGGCUUAAUUUUUAUAAGGUAUUUGUAAGUUUUUACAUUAGUAGUGAAACUUAAACUCAGUUACAAAGUGGGUGUCAACCAUGUAAAUAGUCUAGAAUUUUUGUAAAAAAAUUUACUGAAACAGUGAAAGGUGCUUGAGUCCUGAUCACUGAAGUUUUUGGUUACUAAUAUUGGUUUCCAUAGGACAGGAAAAUGAAAUUGCGUUCAUUAAGAUGUUUUACAUGGAGAAAUGUGAGGCAUUAAUUCAUAACUCAAUAAUUAUUUGCCUAAUUAUAUGAACAGAUUUUACACAAUCAUCUCAAAUAAUCCACUAAUUAUGAAGUAGUAAUAAACCAAACAAUUUAGCUCAUUUAUCUCUGGCCCUUACAGAGUUCAACCCCAUUUUGAAUAAGUGAAGUUUCUACCCUCAGUACUCCAUAUUCAUAAACUAACAAAAGGAGGUCAGCAUUUUCUUGUCUGUAGAAUGAUUUUCACACAUAUGGAUCUAGAAUACAUACAGCAAGUGUUGAAUUAGGUAUUUGUAAUACUAGGAGUAAAUUUCAAAUCUAUGCUUACUUUGAAGCAGUUUUUAUGGAUAAGGUUCCAUAUUUGAGGGGAUUAGAGAUUUUCUUUUUAUUUUUGGUAUCCUAUUAUAUAGACCCUUGAUAAUUAGAAUUGUGGAGCUUCAUAUCAGGAGGAUUUUACAAUGAAUACUGCAAGGUUUAAAUGAAUACUAAAAGCCUUUGUGUCAGUUUUCUGAGAGGAACAGACAUUCUUCGGAAGCUCCAUCAAAAUGCAAUUUAAUUAUCUCUAUUUAUUUAUUUAUAACCUCGAAUAGAGUCUGAGAGAUUCAAGAAACGUUAUGUGCUGUAGGCUGACUAAAGACACUUGGGAAGGACAAAGUGGAAACAAAAACUAUUUUGAUUUUUGGAAAGAGAGGUCACCUAGUUUUGCAUCUCAUGUCCAUUUAGUAUUGUAGCUGAAAAAAUGUCCUUAAUUUUGACAUAUUGACAAAGGCUGAAAUUUUCAGCUAUUCAUAUAUUCCCUAGGUGCCCAAUUCUAUUGUGUCUAAAAUUUAUAUUACAAUUUAAAAACGAUUAAUAGUAUUUCAAGUAUAGAAAUGACAGCACUCAUAGAGUUUUUUGUUUUGUUUUCUAUUCUGUAUAUUUUGCAAGUUUCAAAGGCCACCUGAGGCACCUUAAAUGGAGAAAGCUUAACUGUGAAAUACAUAAAAGCUAACAGAAAGGAAUGAUGGCUUACACACUUCACAAAGUAUAGGUGUGAGUAAAUACACUCUGAAAUAAAGAUAUUGGAGUCCAUUGAUAAAGACUUUAUUUCAGCACUAUGGCGCUGAAUGUGGUAGAGUUAACAUUAAAUUUAUAUUAAUGUAACAUGAUGAGGAAUUAAGGCAAUGACUUAAAAAACAUGCCUACAAUGUUUUGUUCAGGAUAAAAAAAAAUGAGGAGGAAUUCUAACUGUGCUCUCUGCAACCUAUGUAGUUGAUCACUGCUAGAAUGUUUCAGGGGGAUGCUCUCUGAAAUGGUAUUAUAACUAGGUCACUUUUCUUCAUUGAUUUAUAUAAUUAAUUUAACCAAAAGCAAUAAUUACUUAAAAAUUUUAAAGUCUUUAUUAGGAACACAAAAGAGCAUUAUAAGCUAGAUGGAUAGAUUAAGCCAACUUCAAAAAGACAAGGUUUUUAAAGAUUAUAAUACUACACAACUGAAUUCAGCUGAGACUCUAAGUAAGAGCAAGAGAAAACUAAAGAGAUAUAUUUGCUUAGAAAAUAUGAAAGAAUUUGAAUGGUUAUACUUUCUGUAAUGUGAAUGAUAAAAGAUUUAACAAACCAAGAAGUGUUUUGAUUUUUAUUGUUCCAUCAAAACAAGAUUUCCAACCCAGAUCUGUAAAUGCUACAGGUAUACUUCAAAAUAACACAUAGCUGCCAAUAAUUAAUUCUCCUUUUUGUGUUUGCAUACUCAUUUAUUCUUAGAAAUUUCCUCACAGACAGACAUAAGGUACGAUUUAUUCUGAACGAUCUGAUGAGAUGAUGGCAUGAAUCACAGCCCAUACUGGUGGUACAAGCAAUAUUUAAGAGGCAAGGGUCACAGAUGGAUUUUUUUCUUUUCUCUCACCAAUUUUAUUUAACGGCCCCUGAUCAUGUAGGGAUGGGUUUUCUAUCAUUGUAUGAAUAAACUACUUUCCUCCUCAGGAUGUGCCCUGUUUAAUUUGAGUUAUUCUGUGUAAUCUGCAUACCCAUCAGGCUGCCUGCAUAACCCAAAUGCACUGCCACCUCUCAGAGGCCACAAGCAAAAAGAAAGAACAGCUGCUAGUAAGCCUCUGUGAGAUAAUAAAUCAGCAACAGGUGCUCCAGGCACACAGGAAGACUGGAGAUCAGGUCACAAAUUAAAUGUAUUUAGAAGGAAAACAGAAGAAAUAAAGGAAGCUGUUUGUAAGACAACAUGAAGAAACUGUGUUUGAUUUUGGCUUCUGUGAAACUAAAAUUGGCAAAGGGAUGGAAAUCAACACAGCUAAGAAGUAAAGCUACAGGGAGCCUGGCUAAAAAAGAAAAAAAAAAUAACAUAAACAAAACAAAAAACCAAAAAAGUAAUAAAUGUACUCUCUUUAUUCAGCAAAAUAAAAAAAAUAAAUUCAAUUACCCAUGAAAAAAAGGUAGACAACAUUUGCAUUUUCUUGCUAAGGGCCAAAGAAAAAUAUGCUGAAACUAAACCUAGUUUGUGCAAUAGUAUUUCUAAUAGGUUUCAGAAAAUGCAUAAUAUUUGGAUGGCAGUAUUAUAGUAAUGCUCUGAUUUUUCUCUAUACUUUCCUUCUUUCCAUGACAAAAGUCAAUGGUAUCGAUAACUCAAAAUGUCUGCCACUGAUAUAUUUCUUCAGAUUUUGGUCUCUUCUGGCAGUCUCUGUGCAUGUAAAAUGAGGCUGAAGUCAAAGAAGAAAUGUGACAAUGGACCUAACAGAUUUUUAAAAACAUCAGAACUGGAAAACUAUUUUUUUAAUUCAAUACAUUUUUUCAGUUACUUCAUCUUUCUUUACAAUUUUUAGCUUUUAUUUUCACUCUUAUAUCAUAGAAAAUAUAAGAAAUUCAUAGAUAUGAAUCAGUUUUAAUUGCUUCUUUACUGUUAGGUGGAUUUCUGUUUAUUUUUAAUCUGUUGGAUUUAAAAAACUGAAGAUGUUGUUGAAAGCAAGAACUAAUUGUCUAUUGAAAAAAGAGUUGAGUGACAGUCAUUGUGUAACAAAUUGCUCUUAUUGUUCCUUGUAGCAUUUUUGAAAAUCUAAUUGGAGAGAAAGACAAGACUGCUCUAUGUUGCACCAACACCCAGAAUUAAGCCCCAAAUAUUGUACAAACUCUACAAGAAAUAAAGAUCCACAGCAUACAGAUACAAACCUGAUGGAAAUCUAUAAAGAAACAGUGCACAUAUAUUGAAAAUUCUUGGUACCAGAAGUUUAAUUUGUAAAAGUCCAGUCUUUGGUGUAUUAUACAAUGAGCCUGUAUAAUAGUCCCAUCAAUUUCAGAGGGAACAGUGGUGGUUGUAAAUAAACAAAAAAAACAAAACUUGUAGUCCCUUAGGCUUUUUCUCCCUACUUCCCCAGGUCUUGAAAGUACUUUCAAUCAGUUAUCUGCACACUACAACUGUUAAGGAACUCUCAUUUAGGAGUCAUGACCCAGGCCUUACCCAGACCCAAACCACUUUAUAUUUCUACCAGUCGCCAACAGUUAUGACUUUUCUUUUCUGUAAAUAGCAGUAGAUGUGGUUUUAACACUUAUUUCUUCAGUACUUGUGUGUAUUUCAUAUAUAUAUAUAUAUAUAUAUAUAUAUACAGAGAGAGAGAGAGAGAGAUCUAUCUAUCUAUCUAUCUAUCUAUCUAUCUAUCUAUCUAUAUAUAUAUAUAUAUAUCUUUAUACUUCCAGAAGUUAAAAGACUUAUUCCUUGAACAUGUAAUCUCUUACUUUGUUUACUUUCACGGUAAAAUAAUUAAUGACUUCUAAUGUACAGUAACAAAACAGGAUUUUUGUGUGUCUAUGUUUUGCCAUCUAUAAUUUAUCUGGGCAAGACAAAAUUGUCAUUUAAAUUGGGAAAUAUGGUUUUCAUUUAAAAAGUAAUUUCUUGUUUUGUCAUGUUAUGACUUUAAUAAUAGUCAGUGCCCUCCAAUGCCCCAGCAUAGUAGUAGAAAUGCAUAAAUAAAUUACAACCCCAGGCAAAUCAUAAGGUGUUUUACAUUGCUCAAUAGUUCAUUGGCUAGUGGAACUGGUAGAAAAAAUAUUUCAGACUUGGGCUGAUAUACUUUAUUCCAAAGGAUGAGAACAGUUAAGGUUAGAAGGGACCUUAAGGAUAACUAGUUCAAUCCCCUGACCACGGGGAUUGAAUAGUAGUAGCAGGGACAGUCUAGUAGAAGGGACACAUCACUCAGAGCCCCAUCCAACCUGUCCUUGCACACUUCCAGGCACAGUGCAUCCUCAGCUUCUCUGGGCAACCUAUUCCAGUGCCUCACAGGAAAUUGUAGUUAUCCUGACAAUAACAUUUCUUCCUCAGGCUGUGAUUUUCCCGUGAUUUUAUCCAAAUUCUUGUUCUAAUUAUGGAGGAUCUUGAAGCUUGCCUUGAAACAAGAAUUAUUCUGCGGCCAAUUUAAUAACAGGUUCUUGGUGAUGUAUGCUUGAAAGAUGGCUGGUGUUGGAGUAGCCUUCUGAUUUCAAGUUUCAGGUACUUUGGGAAAAGAAAUGCUUGAAAUCUUAAAAAUUUAUGUGUGGGUUUUAUAAGGUAUCAUAAUUUCCUGAAAAAAUGGCUGACUAAAAACUAUUAAAAAUCUAAUAAAAAAUCCCAGAUAUUGUUAUACUUCCUAAAUAUUGCAACUAUUACUUAAUUUUUUACUGUUCUAAAAAUUCUGUUAUAAAUACAAAAUAUAUUCUAAUGUGUUCCUUAUACCCUUUUAGUAAGCCAAGAAACUAAGACGAUUUGGGUUUUAUUUUGCCUUGCUUUCGGGUUUUUGUGGGGUUUUUUACUAUUAAAAAAAUAUUGUACUUUCUUAGCAGAUUUAUGAUCCAUAUUUUAAUUUUUUCAAGGAGAAAUAAGAAAAGACAAUAGCAAGGUAUAACUGAAUACUUUGACACACAUUUACAUGCAUUUAUCAACUUUUCAACCCCUUUCUUUUCCAGUAGCAAAAAUACCUGAUAAAAAGAAAUUUCCCUGUAAUUUUUUUUGCUUUGGGGAGUUGACUUUUUGUUGCUUUUAAUUAGCAGUUUGUUUAUAUAUUAAAAGAUAA